rnacentral:rRNA from 1 species
GACGAACGCUGGCGGCGUGCUUAACACAUGCAAGUCGAACGGAAAGGCCUGCUUUCCCUUGUGGAUUGCGGGUACUCGAGUGGCGAACGGGUGAGUAACACGUGAGUGAUCUGCCCCCAACUUGGGUAUAAGCCUGGGAAACUGGGUCUAAUUCCCGAUAGGACUGCAGGGUGGUGCCUGUGGUGGAAAACGAUUUUCUAGUGGUUGGGGAUGAGCUCGCGGCCUAUCAGCUUGUUGGUGGGGUAAUGGCCUACCAAGGCGGCGACGGGUAGCCGGCCUGGGAGGGUGGACGGUCACAUUGGGACUGGGAUACGGCCCAGACUCCUACGGGAGGCAGCAGUGGGGAAUAUUGCACAAUGGGCGGAAGCCUGAUGCAGCGACGCCGCGUGGGGGAUGACGGCCUUCGGGUUGUAAACUCCUUUCGACCGCGAGGAAGCCACCUGGUUGGAAGGGUGGUGACGGUAGUGGUAGAAGAAGCACCGGCUAACUACGUG